UCAAAUAUCAAUCUGGUCAUAAACAAGGAAAACUUCACUGUAAACCUCAUUGUGCUAGAGUCACUUGGUAUUCCCUUGGUCCUUGGUAAUGAAUGGUUGUGUGCACACAAAGGAGUGAUCUAUGGUACCCAAUACAAAAUGCUCUUAACACCACCGUCAGGAAAAAGAAUUGAGUAUCACGGUGGUCCACUCCUACCUGAGGAGGCAAAUACAUAUUAAGUUUCCCUGUCUCUUGGAGUUGUCAGCUAAAAGAAAUUAGUAAUCAAGAUGGACUUUGGUCAACUUUGAAUAAUAGCUAUUCAAUGGAAAUGUUGUUCACGAGGUGUGACCUUGAGACAAGUGUUUAAGUUGGUAUGCAAGUUGUGAAGUUGAAAGGAUUAUCAAGAUA
rnacentral:lncRNA from 1 species